UAUCAUUAAACCGGACAUGCAUCAUACUUGGUUGUGCAUCAUGCCAUGUCUAUGUGUUGGUUGUUUACUAUGUUGUGUGUUUCUUUUCCCGUGUUUGCUUCUUCGGGUUGGUUCCGUUAACGUCGCAUUUGUGAGGAUCUGUUCGUCUACGUUCGUUUGUCUUCUUCAUGGACUCAUUCUUCUUCCUUGCGGGAUCUCAGGCAAGAUGAUCAUACCCUCGAAAUCACUUCUAUCUUUGCUUGCUAGAUGCUCGCUCUUUUGCUAUGUCUAUGCUGCGAUACCUACCACUUGCUUAUCAUGCCAUCCAUAUUGUUGAACCAAGCCUCUAACCCACCUUGUCCUAGCAAACCGUUGUUUGGCUAUGUUACCGCUUUGCUCAGCCCCUCUUAUAGCGUUGUUAGUUGCAGGUGAAGAUUGAAGUUUGUUCCUUGUUGGAACAUGGAGAUGUUGUUUCUUGUUGGAACAUGUUACUUGUUGGGAUAUCACAAUAUAUCUUAUUUAAUUAAUGCAUCUAUAUACUUGGUAAAGGGUGGAAGGCUCGGCCUUAUGCCUGGUGUUUUGUUCCACUCUUGCCGCCCUAGUUUCCAUCAUAUUGGUGUUAUGUUCCCGGAUUUUGCGUUCCUUAUGCGGUUGGGCUAUAAUGGGAACCCCUUGACAAUUCGCCUUGAGUAAAACUCCUCCAACAAUGCCCAACAUUGGUUUUACCAUUCGCCACCUAGCCUCUUUUUCCCUUGGGUUUCGCGGACUCAAGGGUCAUCAUUAUUUUACCCCCGGGGCCAGUGCUCCUCUGAGUGUUGGUCCAACCUGUCAGCUGCCGGUGACCACCAGGGGCAACUCUGGGCUGGCCUACCCGUACCUAGGACAAUCUGAGUGUGCCCUAAGAAAGAGAUAUGUGCAGCUCCUAUCGGGAUUUGUCGGCACAUUCGGGCGGUGUUGCUGGUUUAGUUUUACCCUGUCGAAAUGUCUUGUUGUACCGGGAUAUCGAGUCUGAUCGGAACGUCUCGGGAGGAGGUCUAUUCCUUCGUUGACCGUGAGAGCUUGUGAUGGGCUAAGUUGGGACUCCCCUGCAGGGAUUUGAACUUUCGAAAGCCAUGCCCGCGGUUAUGGGCAUAUGGGAAUUUGUUAAUGUCCGGUUGUAGAUAACUUGAACCUUAACUUAAUUAAAAUGAAUCAACUGUGUGCGUAACCGUGAUGGUCUCUUCUCGGUGGAGUCCGGGAAGUGAACACGGUGUUGGAGUUAUGCUUGACGUAGGUUUCUAUAGGAUCACUUCUUGAUCAUACUUUUAUCGACCGUGCUUUGCCUUCUCUUCUCGCUCUCAUUUGCGUAUGUUAGCCACCAUAUAUGCUAGUCGCUUGCUGCAGCUCCACCUCAUACCUUUACCUUACCCAUAAGCUUAAAUAGUCUUGAUCGCGAGGGUGCGAGAUUGCUGAGUCCCUGUGGCUCACAGAUACUUCCAAACCAGCUUGCAGGUGCCGAUGAGUCCGUGCAGAUGACGCAACCCAGCUCAGGAGGAGCUCGAUGAAGAUCUUGUCCUUUGUGUUGUUUCGUUCUAUGUGAUCAGUAGUGGAGCCCAGUUGGGGUCGAUCGGGGACCUUUGUCGCAUUUGGGGUUCUUUUUUUAUUUUGGUUCCGUAGUCGGAUCUUGUUUGUAUCUGGAUGAUGUAAUGCUUUAUUCAUGUAAUUGUGUGAAGUGGCGAUUGUAAGCCAACUAUGUAUCUCUUUCCCUUAUGUAUUACAUGGGUUGUGUGAAGAUUACCUCUCUUGCGACAUUGCUUUCAAUGCG
rnacentral:lncRNA from 1 species